CACGUCCCUGUGCUGUUGUGCUGAGCGGCGGACACGGGUGCAUCCUUCCCUGCCAAGUGUGCGCUCGCUGGUAAACAGGAGUCCCGGCGGCACAGCGGAGGACACAGAUGCUCGGCUGCCAAGGCCAGGUAAGAGGGAGGCUGGGCCGGAAGUUCACACAGCUGCCUUCUGAAUACGUCCACCCAGGCGGAGAUGGAGAUGCGUGCUCGUGGAAGACUCGCUCAUUAUGUGUGCAUUGUUUCAAGCUGUCCCGUAAUCACGAAACAAAUUCAUGGCAAGCUGAAAACUAAUUGCAUUAUAUCAUGUGAGUAAUUGAGAGACAGCAGGGAGGAUCUCGCUUCCCCUUGAGGGCCGGACACCUGGGAGAGGCGCCUAACAAGUGUUAUUGAAGGAGGGAAGUGACAGCCUUCAAGAGCCAGAAGGAGCCCAUGCACCAUCCCGCCUACUGCUCCAGCACUUCUGGAGGAGCAGGUGGAUCCCAGCAGGGGCUGGGGUCUCAUGCCCAGGGUCCCACAGCUGAUGAUGGCAGGGGCAGGAUGUGGCCCAUAGCUUUCUGAGUCAAACCCUUCCUCCAAGGCCAAUGCCUUCCAGGACCGCCCAUGCUCUUGUCAUAUCUGUUCCUGGUAAACAAGAUGUAGAUCAUUGUUGAGCAGCUGCAAGCUGGAAGUGUCCCAGGGCGUUUGACCUCUUGCAUGUACUCACGGAGCAGCUGCUCUCUGAUGACUUCCAUGUCCACCCCUCCUGAGCAAGUUAGCAAGUACAGGUCUCUAAAGUGGCCGGUGGCCAGCCCUGUGUACCCAUGGUCAUUCUGAGGACAUCAACAUCUGGGAGUAGGAACCACUUCAUACAGAGAAGAGAAAAUGCCUCCUCAAUGAGACCACAUGGGCAGCUGCCUCCUUCCGAGUGUCCUUGUUAAUAUUCAUCCAAAUUCCUGCCAAGCACACUCCUGGAGCCAGCAGUAGGGAUCACCUGUGGUGAUGACCAUGGUCGCUUUGUUAUCUCAGGUGACCUUGCCAGCUCUGUUGGAGACCAAGACUCCUUGGAGGAACCAUGUUCAGCAUGGGCGUUUGCCUCAGAACUUCUAACCCCCUGCUGGGCUCCAAGUAGGUUUAAAGUAAUAAAUGUGCAGAUGCUACUGGUUUUACAGGAGUUGUUUCUUUUAAUCCUUGCACACACAACUUGUGUUGGGGAGAGUCGCUAUUAAGAGACCCAUUUUACAGAUGAGGAAGCCCAUCCACGCCGC
rnacentral:lncRNA from 1 species